rnacentral:lncRNA from 1 species
AUCUUGUCCCAUGGUCCCACUCCCUUAAUCUGUUAUUCCCUAGAACAUAGGAUUUUGCUCCAUUUCACUUCCUGGUAUGCCUUUAAUACUCAAACCAUAUAUUUUAUAUUUUGCCUUUCUAAGCUUGCUAUGCUUGUUCAAACUUCUCUUUGUGAGACUUAACCAGAGAACAAAGUCUCUGCUGGGCUUUUUUGAAACUUCCUUUGUCAGUGCAAUUAAUGCAAUUAAUCCAAGUCUCUUCACCUUACCGUCAGGCAGACUUUUCAGACAAGGGCAAAAAAGUAGCCCAAAAUACCAAAAUACCAAAAUACCAGGAAAACAGUCUAUGUCACAUACUGAAAUUCUCCUUUGAAAUCUCUUGGGCCAAGUCAACACAGUUCAAAUUACUCCCAGCAACAAAGUCUUCCAUAUUCCUACUAGAAUGACCCAUUAAGCCCCAUUUAAAGCAUUCCACUGAGUUCCAAAUCCAUGUCCAAAAAUCCACAUUUUUUUCAAAUAAAAGCAUGGUCAGGUUUAUCACAGCAAUACCCAAGUCCCUGGUACCAACUUCUGACUUAGGGUUUUACUGCUGUGAACAGACCCCAUGACCAAGGCAAGUCUUAUUAAAAAAAAAACAAAACAACAACAACAUUUAAUUGGGGCUGGCUUACACGUUCAGAGGUUCAGUCCAUUAUCAUCAAGGUGGGAGCAUGGCAGUAUCCAGUCAAGCAUGGUGCAGGCAGAGCUGAGAGUUCUACAUCUUCAUCCAAAGGCAGCUAGUGGAAGACUAACUUCCAGGCAACUGGGGUGAGAGUCUUCACAGUGACACACCUACUCCAACCAGGUCACACCUAUUCCAACAAGGCCACACCUCCAAAUGGUGCCACCUCCAUUGGUCCAAGAAUAUAUAAACCAUCACACACGGGUUCAAGGAGUGGCUAGAGCAUUAUGCACCUCUAUUUUUCUAAAUCAGUGAAGCUAGUUCUGCUAACAAUGAAAUCUAUUUUGCCAAUUUCAGGGCUUCUGUGACCUUUUACAUUCUGUCAGGAUCUUUCAUUCCCCGCUUCUUCUAGUUACUAGUUCUAAUCUUAGAACUAAACUGCAAUCUCUUCUUCAAGGUUCUGCAGAGACUGGUAUUGUUGUCUUAGUACUAACAGCUGGACAGCACCAAUCCUUUCUCUAACAAAGGUCACCAAUUUGUUAAGAAUUAGUGGGCCACAUGUCAGCAGUAAGAGCAAAAUUAUUAGAGGGCCCAUCAGAGUAGAGAUGAGGGUGGUCAACCAAGGAGAUUUAUUCUUCAGGAGCUCGCUUUACGUGAGAGGCAUGAAUCUAAGCAGAGAUGCCUUCUACUUUGACAGCAGUGGGGGUGGUCAGCAGCACGAUGUAAGGGCCUUUCCAAUGAGGUUCUAGAUUCCCAGCUCGGUGUCGUCAGAUGAGAACUGCGUCUCCCACCUGGAACUGGUAUGGUACCAUUAAUUCUGGUUCGUAGGCCUCGAACUGCUCCCAGGUGGUGUUUCUGACCACUUCUAGGGCUUUCAUGCGUGUAAACAGUGGAGGACCAGGGUUAAAUUCUAGAGGAUCUAACACUCUCCCCACUUCAUUGAGUGGGAGAGGCCCCCCCGUACAGGAUUUCAUAUGGAGUGAGCUUAAAUUUUCCCAGUGUGUUCCUGAUGGGGAACAAGGCAAAGGGAAAGAGAGCUGUCCAGUUAUUCCCGCCGGUCUCUAAGGUCAAUUUAGUCAAGGUCUCUCUUAGAGUUCUAUUCAUCCUUUCUACCUGUCCUGAACUCUGGGGUCUAUAAGCACAAUUUAAUUUCCAAUCAAUCCCCAGUUGGAUGGCCAGUUCCUGGCUUACCUGUGCAACAAAGGCGGGUCCAUUGUCAGACCCUAUUACCUUAGGUAUUCUGAACCGUGGAAAAAUUUCUUCUAGGAUCUUCUUAACCACAACAUUGGCAGUUUCUUUUUUCGUUGGGUUGGCCUCCACCCAUCCUGAAAAGGUAUCUAUAAGAACUGCUAUUUGUGUAGAUGUUGAUGGGCCUAACAGCCUUCUGAAGGGCCUUCUACUAGGAAGCUGCUUCUGUGUACCAGUUUGGAACGCCUGGCCACGGCUGGUCGCGUAGAUCACUAUGGAUCCCAGUUUCUUCCGCAAGGAUGUCUGCACAGCAGUGAACGGGUGAGGAAUUGUCCAUUUCAGGCCGGAGGGUAGCAGGAUUAAGGAUAGCAGGAGGAGCAAACACGACCCAUUCAGUCAGCAACAGACUCUAGUAGUGGGUCAUUCAGGCGUUUGUCACGCAUUGGUCUGUGGGCUGGCAGAUAAUGCUUCAAGAGAGUGGGAGGCUACCACAGUUAUUUGUUGUCUCAAAGUUAACUUGUCGGCAUAUUUAACGAGUAAGGCUACUGCAGCAAUGGCCUUUAAACAUGUGGGCCAUCCGCUGGCCACUGGGUCCAGCUUCUUAGACAAAUAUGCCACGGGCCUCUUCCACGACCCUAGAGCCUGAGUAAGAACUCCUCUGGCCACCCCUGCCCUCUUAUCAACAUAGAGGAUGAAGGGUUUGGUUAGAUCUGGCACAGUCAACAGUGCCUCUUUAAUAUUUUCAAAGCCUCUCAGAUAUUCUGAUGUCCAUCUGAAUUCUCCACUUUCCUUGGUCAGGGGGUACAAGGGGCAGCCAGUGUUGCAAACCCAGGUAUCCAAAGUCUGCAGAACCCAGUGGUGCCCAAGAUUCUUUUACCUGUCUUAGAGUAGCCUGUGCCGUUAUUUGAGUCACAGUCCUUUUUCUUUGCAAUAGGCACAUUGGUCCUUCUCUAAAGUCUUCUGGAGCCAGGCGUGGUGGUGCACGCCUUUAAUCCCAGCACUCGGGAGGCAGAGGCAGGCGGAUUUCUGAGUUCGAGGCCAGCCUGGUUUACAAAGUGAGUUCUAGGACAGCCAGGGCUACACAGAGAAGCCCUGUCUCGAAAAACAAAACAAAAAAACCAAACAAAAAACCCCAAAACAAAAACAAAACAAAACAAAACAAAACAAAAAACCAAACAACAAAACCAAAAGAAAAGAAAAGAAAACAAAAAAACAAAACAGUCUUCUGGACGGAUCUUCUUCCUCCAGGUCUAGGUUCCCUGUUGCCCAGGUACGCUGUCUGUCUAUUCUCAGGCCUGUGCUCUCCUACUACUGCGACCAAUAUCCUGCUUAAGUUCCUCUCCUGUCUUCUAUCCCUUUUAUUCUCCCUCUCUUCUUCUUUGCGCUUUUCCCUCUCUUUCUUCUAUUCCUCUGUCUCUCUCUUGUGAUACACCUUUUCUGCCUCCUUGACUAAAUCUUGUAAAACCAUGGCAUGUAAUCCUUCUAGUCUCUGUAACUUUCUCUUAAUAUCUGAUGCUGAUUGCCCUAUAAAAGCCAUAGCAACCAUGGCUUGUUGACCCUCAGAGGUCGGGUCAAAAGGAGUAUAGCGCCUAUAAGCUUCCAUCAAUCUUUCCAGAAAAAUAGACAGGGGCUCGGUAGGGCCCUGCAUCACCUCUUACCUUAGCCAAAUUGGUGGGGCAUCUCGUGCUCCCUUUAAACCCGCGACCAGAGCCCAGCGGUAAACUGCCAACUUCUCACUACCUUGAGCCAUGUUGUAGUUCCAAUCUGGCUGGUUCAGAAGGAACCCAGCAUUAAUCUCAUUAGGUAGGUUGGUUGAGACCCUAUUCACUCUGGGAACAUUUUUCCAAGCCUCCAGGAGAAUGUGCUCUUUAACUUCAGUGGUAAACAGAACCUGGAGGAGCUGCUGACAAUCAUCUCAAGUGGGUUAUUAAGAAAACAUAAGAGACUCUAUCAGCCCAGUCAGGCUGGCCAGAUUCUCGGAAAAGGAGGCAUGGUUAGCUUUGCAAUUUUACAAAUCAGCCGAUGAAAAAGGCCAAUAUUGUAGGGUCUGCAGAGAUAGUGGGUCCAUGGGCAGGUCGCCCACAGCUCACCAAGGAAAAGCAGAAGUGGUGUCAGGAGCUCCAUCUGCUGGGGGACUCUGGGCUCCAGGUCCCGGCCGCUGGUCCUCCAGCUGGGCCACCAGCGGUCCCAAGGCCGGGUGCAGAGACCUGUGCAGGAAUGGGACCCAGUGGGGGUAGAAGAUAGGGCAGAUGGGGAGGAGAUUCUGGCCACUCAGGAGGCCCCUCAAUAUUAGGAUAGAUCUUGGGGGGAACUGUGGGUUGAAGAGGAGGCUCCAUUUCAGGUGGAAUCUUUGGUUUUGCUCUUGUUUCAUGAAGAGUCAGGGCUCAGGAGCCUGACCUACGCUGGGGAAUCCAUGGUUUGAUCCAUGAUGUUGGAUUCUGGACAAGGUCCUGCCAGACAGUAAUAUAAGGCUGUUGAUCCGGGUGGGACCCAGGUCCACUCUGAAAAACAAUGGCUUUAACUUCAAAGAUAAGAGUCAAAUUAAAAGUCCCCUCUGGUGGCUAUCCUACAUCAAAAGCCGGCCACUAGGAGGUGCAAAAAUCUACCAAGGUCCUUUCUUAAUUUCUACUGAAAGAUUAUGGGCCCUUGACCUAACUUCAGUCCAGUGGUCUAAGGUCAAACUUAGGGGGGGCUUGUUACAGUCUGUCCCAUUGUCCAAAUCACAGAAAACACAAAAUAGACACAAAACACACACACACACACACACACACACACACACAGACACACACACACUGACAAAUGCCCCAAACAGACACAAACACACACACACACACUGACAAAUGCCCAUCUUCUAAUGGACAGACAAAACCAACUCAGAAAUGCAAAAGGUCAGGAAAGUACGUAAGUCCUCCAAUCUAGGAAGACUACCGACUCUUCACUCCCCACUCCAGAUGGACUCCUGGAGUCCUUCCCCUCGCUCCGGGGCAUCCCCCAGGAGUGGCAGCCGGUGAUUCCAGCACAUCUGCUGUUCGCACUCCAUGCCUCACCCCGAGGCGCGGGUCUCCAUUUCUCAUGAAACAUCACGGCUGCAAAUUUCAGCACCGAACAUCGCCGGCUCACAGAAAUAUUUUUAGACAACAAAUCUCACCUCCAAGUGGGUCUUCGGAGAUGUGGGUGGUCGCGCCAAUCCUGGGACAAGCCCCCAAUGAAAGACCCCCAAAGGGAGACCCUCAUUCAAGUCUCGGGAUAAUAGUGGACCCCCAAGAACUCACGAGAGUCCAAACUUGAUGCAAACCACACGAGGCUUUAUUUGGGGAAAGCCAGAGCUCUGGGGACGACUCGUAUCUCAUGCAGGGGUAGAGGAGUUGAUCCCGAGGGGAAAGGGGUCCCAGUUUUUAUAGGCCCUCGGGGGGGAAAGGAGAAGGGGGAAGUAGGGGAUUUCCAGAUCUAAACAAUGUCUAUUCUAAAGUGAUUUCUCAAGAAAUGGGUAUGGGAGGGGUAUAAGGAAAGAGUCUGGUGCAGGUGCAGCAAAUCCGAUUGGCCCCGGCUGUGGUUGCUGGGGAGAUUUUCCAACUCUUCCCCAGCAACCAAUAUUACAAACACCUGGCAGUGGGCUUCAUCAGUGGGCACACACAUGGGUUCAAGGAAUGGUCAGAACAUUGGCAGACACACAGUGACUUAGUUAGGGUUUUACUGCUGUGAACAGACACCAUGACCAAGGCAAGUCGUAUAAAAAAACAAUAUUUAAUUGGGGCUGGCUUACAGGUUCAGAGGUUCAGUCCAUUUAUCAUCAAGGUGGGAGCAUGGCAGUAUCUAGUCAAGCAUGGUGCAGGCAGAGCUGAGAGUUCUACAUCUUCAUCCAAAGGCUGCUAGUGGAAGACUGACUUCCAGGCAACUGGGGUGAGAGUCUUAAGCUCACACCCACAGUGACACACCUACUCCAACCAGGUCACACCUAUUCCAACAAGGCCACACCUCCAAAUGGUGCCCCUUAACAGAGGAAUGGAUACAAAAAAAUGUGGUACAUUUACACAAUGGAGUACUACUCAGCUAUUAAAAGGAAUGAAUUUAUGAAAUUCCUAGGCAAAUGGAUGGACCUGGAGGGCAUCAUCCUGAGUGAGGUAACACAUUCACAAAGGAACUUACACAAUAUGUACUCACUGAUAAGUGGAUAUUAGCCCAAAACCUAGGAUACCCAAGAUAUAAGAUACAAUUUGCUAAACACAUGAAACUCAAGAAGAAAGAAGACUGAAGUGUGGACACUAUGCCCCUCCUUAGAAUUGGGAACAAAACACCCAUGGAAGGAGUUACAGAG